CCAAGCAUAUUAUUAUAUCAGAGAGUCCAGAGAAUGACAAAAUUACACAGAAGGAUGACAAAAGCUAAAAAAUCAGCAAAAGUAAUCUUUUGUCACAAUACAAUACAACAAUAUGCAGGAGAUUUAAGGAAAUCAGUUGGAUUCACAAAGGGUUUUCUUAUGAAGAUGUGUGUGCCACCCACAGCUCUAAUACACUAAGGAAACCAAAUGGCAUAUUUUUUAAAGAAUCCUGAUGUCAGUUAUUCAACUUCUGUUUCUGGUAUUGGGAGUUUAAUGUAACUGAGCCAACUUCUCUAGCAAUCACAAGACAAACUCUACUAAUUACAACAGAAACCAUGCACCUUGAAAUGCCAAAAGCAUUGGUAAUUUUGCGAUAUCAACCUUUAUCAGAAAGGUAGUAUAAUGUGAUCACAACAUGCAUCUCCACAGAUAGUGGCUUCCUCGUGUUUGUUACUUGUCUGGUUGACCAUGGCCUAACUUCUUCACA